CCUACGGGAGGCAGCAGUGAGGAAUAUUGGUCAAUGGCCGAGAGGCUGAACCAGCCAAGUCGCGUGAGGGAUGACGGCCCUACGGGUUGUAAACCUCUUUUGUCGGGGAGCAAAGAGAGUCACGUGUGGCUCAUUGAGAGUACCCGAAGAAAAAGCAUCGGCUAACUCCGUGCCAGCAGCCGCGGUAAUACGGAGGAUGCGACCGUUAUAUGGAUUUAUUGGGUUUAAAGGGUGCGCAGGGGGAGGUGCAAGUCAGUGGUCAAAUUGCGGGGCUCAACCCCGCACCGCCGUUGAAACUGCAUAACUUGAGUGCGCGAGAGGUAUGCGGAAUGCGUGGUGAAGCGGUGAAAUGCAUAGAUAUCACGCAGAACUCCGAAUGCGAAGGCAGCAUACCGGCGCGCAACUGACGCUCAUGCACGAAAGCGUGGGUAUCGAACAGGAUUAGAUACCCCGGUAGUC
rnacentral:rRNA from 1 species